rnacentral:pre_miRNA from 1 species
CGAAUGAACAAGGACGAAGAAGGGGACAGAGAUGAACUGCCAUUGGGCUAGCUCUUUGGGCAUAACAUGUACCGUCUCUGUCCCCUUCUUCGUCCUUGUUCAUUCG